UCGCCGAAAGGUGAGGUAAUCCUCAAUGGUGUGGGAAGUACAUAUGUACAUCCCACUAAAGCUUUAGCGCUUCGGGAUGAGUCUGCGUCCUAUCAGCUUGUUGGUAGAGUAAAGGUCUACCAAGGCUAAGACGGGUAACUGGUCUGAGAGGAUGGUCAGUCACAGUGGCACUGAAACACGGGCCACACUCCUACGGGAGGCAGCAAUUAGGAAUCUUGCACAAUGGAGGAAACUCUGAUGCAGCGACACCGCGUGAAGGAUGAAGACCCUCGGGUUGUAAACUUCUUUUAUAAUCUAACAAGUUCUGAGUGGAGUAUGAAUAAGCACCUGCUAACUGCGUGCCAGAAGCAUCGGUGAAGCGUGGGGUGCGAGCGUUAUCCGGAUUUAUUGGGCGUAAAGAGAUGCGUAGGCGUUUUGGUAAGUCUUCUGUCAAAGCCUUCGGCCUAACCGAAGAAAGGCAGAGGAUACUAUCAGAAUUGAGACAGAGAGGGGGAAGUGGAAUUCCCGGUGGAGCGGUGAAAUGCGUUGAUAUCGGGAGGAACACCAGUGGCGAAGGCAACUUCCUGGCUCUGUUCUGACGCUGAGGCUCGAAAGCGUGGAGAGCAAAGCGGAUUAGAUACCCGUGUAGUCCAUGCUGUAAACGUUGGAUACU
rnacentral:rRNA from 1 species